rnacentral:lncRNA from 1 species
AGCACGGCCCUCCACCUCGGUGGCGUUCUGGUUGCUAUGCCCUUUUGUGGCUGUGACUGCCCGCCCUCACAACGGCCCGUUUUCUUCCCAGUGCUCUGAACUUUUGGGCAAAUGUGUCAAGUGUGUACACAGACAAAGCCUCACUUCAAAGCUCGUGUUCAGGGCCCUUAAAGUCAUAGUUAUUGCAAAACUGCGGCCGUCUGGCGAACCUGCCUUAUGUAAGGGUGCUUGAACGUAUGAUUCACCAAACAUUUCCGCAGACAUCGCAAAGUUGUUGGAGCCAGAGUAGGAGAAAGACCACCCAUUUGAGAUCAUGGCUUGACAGGUCUCACAGGACAACUCAUCUCUCCACCUCUAUCCCCGUUUGGCGAGGCCUGGAACACUCCCUCCUGCCACCAGAAUGGGACCAAUCUAGACAUCUCUUCUCUGGCUUCCUUGUGCCUGGCCUUUUUUGGAGGGUUGGGAUAGUGGCCUGUCUUCAUGCAUGGUGAGAUAACACCAACAUCGAAGGAAGAUCUUUGCCACAGAGGAUCCUAGUUCCAGCUCCCAGUGGAAGGUCUUAUUACAGCUUCCCAGGAAAUCUGCCAGACUUGAAUUUUAAGAGGGUCCCUUCAUUGGCCCUGAGCCAUUGUUUUUUCAAUACAGAGACCACUUAGUGUGGUCUGAGCCACAUCGGGUCACUUGUCAGGAUUCAUUUAUAAGAUCUGAAUGGAACCACAGGAAGCAUGAAACCUUAGUCACAUGUGACGUAGCACUGCUGCCUGAGAAGGAGGUAAGAGUGGAUGGCAGAGCCAGGGGUGUCUGCAAGAGUGUCACACUCCCAUAACAGUAGCAUUUCAUUGAAAACAUAACUGUUCAAACUCUGGGAAGACUGUUCAAGAUGACGGUGAACCAUGCCUACAACUGUGGUCAUUUCCUCAACUCUGAGGAAAGGCCUGUGGAGACCGGACAGACGAGGGUGUCAAACAUGAGAUCCCCUGAAACUGGAGUCAUAGUUGGCUGUGAGCUGCCAUAUGAAUGCUAAUACCCACCUAGGUCCCCUGCAAGAGCAGGCAGAAUGCUUAGCUGCCAGCUCAUUGUUCCAGUCCUCUUCUUAUUUCUUUUAUGAGGGCAAUUACAGAAAUAAUGCUUGUAAUGCCAAAUUGCCCUAUCUGAAGUCGUGUGUAGAUCUGUAUAGAUGCUAAAUAAUUUGUCACUAUUUCACUCUCUAUUUGCCCCUUACAGAACAUUUGCUGGACUAUGGCACUGGGAUUUAGAGAUGGAUGUUCAGAGGCCAGGAAGGAUGCUCUAUUGAGACAAAAAUCAUAUCACUGAGUAGCUAUAAAUAUGCUUUGCUUUGCUUGGUGGGAAUAUAAGAUUUCUGGCACCUUACUGGCAAAAUAAGUCUUUGUAAUUAAUUCCCAACUAAAUGUUUUCUUUCUUUUUCCUGAAAAUUAGUUUUGAAUACUUCAAAAUUAAGUUCAAAACCUA